rnacentral:rRNA from 1 species
CAGUAGCCACGGGAAUACGAAGGGUGCAAGCGUUAAUCGGAAUUACUGGGCGUAAAGCGUGCGUAGGCGGUGAGUUAAGUCUGCUGUGAAAUCCCCGGGCUCAACCUGGGAAUGGCAGUGGAUACUGGCUCGCUAGAGUGUGUCAGAGGAUGGUGGAAUUCCCGGUGUAGCGGUGAAAUGCGUAGAGAUCGGGAGGAACAUCAGUGGCGAAGGCGGCCAUCUGGGACAACACUGACGCUGAGGCACGAAAGCGUGGGGAGCAAACAGGAUUAGAUACCCGCGUAGUCCCUGUCUCUUAUAA